rnacentral:rRNA from 1 species
UAGGGAAUCUUCCACAAUGGACGAAAGUCUGAUGGAGNAAGCCGCGUGAGUGAAGAAGGUUUUCGGAUCGUAAAGCUCUGUUGUUGGUGAAGAAGGAUAGAGGCNGUAACUGGUCUUUAUUUGACGGUAAUCAACCAGAAAGUCACGGCUAACUACGUGCCAG